ACGCCUGCCGUCGUAAGAGCGACGCCCGCAAUGCACGACACGCAGUUCACAGUCAAGAGAUCGGAGCCGCCCGGAGAGGUUCUAACUUUAAUAUAUUAUACGUUAGAAUGUCAGCUGUCAACGAAAGAGGAAAAGAGCGUCGAGAGAACAUGACAAAUCUUCAGCGGCGAGGGUCAUACACAUACGGCUGUGUGCAGAGGCAUGUGUCGGUGGGACCUCCACUAUUACAGUAACUCCGAACCACUUGGGUGCCUACUCUAAGUUUGAGUUGUGCCGGUGUUCUUUGCUCUGCUCCGACCUAAUACCAGCUACACGCGCAACUUUUGAUGUGUGUCAUCUUAGAACUCGGUUUAAAGCAUUUUGUGGGAGUAAGUACGCAUGAGUGUGAAUGUGUGUGAAUAAUUAUUAUAUGUAUUUGCAUUUUCAGGACAUUUUAUAUAUUUGGUUAGAUUUAUAAACAUUGUUCUAGUACAUUUUUUAAAAUUUAGUUAAAAUAUAUAAUUAGGUAUAAGUGUUUGUAUUUUUUUUCCUCUAUUAUGUAACUUCUUUGUAAAAACAUUAUUUUUUAUAAAUUAUACGUUAAAUAAUUUUUAGUAUCGUUGAAAUUUUUAAAAUGUACUAUUUUCAUACUUAUUUAUACCUAAAGUAAUUUGUUUAUUUAGUUUGUAUUGUAUUUCUAACUUGUUUUAAUCUUAUAGGCCAAAUUUUUUAUAAUUUUUAAGUUAUCUAUAAAUGUUCUGUUUUAUUUUUAUUUUAACUAUACUUUGUAAAUAUUUAUAUGUCAAGUUUUAAAAUAAUUCAAUAAAAUAUUAUUACAUAAAAUUAAUACACGAACCUUGCCAAAUGAACGUGUCAUGAACUUCGUUGCGCAAAUAUAUAAUAUGAAAAGAAAAAGAACUUAAGAACUUAAGGAAUUAAGUUUAUAGUGCAAGAUAUCGACAUGCACACAUUUCAAAGAUGGCUUUUAUAUAUUUCUUCAAACCGUGUUUAUAUAAAUAUAUAUAUAUAUUAUUCAAUAUGUCCACAUUAUGGAAAGUCAGGGAAAAGUCAAAGAAGUUAAAAUUGGUUAGGAAAUGCCCGGGAAUUUUCUUUAAAACUUAAAAAAUUCAUGUAAAUUCCUCAGUGAUAGUAAUUUGAGGGUGAAAUGUAAUGCUCAUGUAAGCCAUCACCCAUACUCUGAAAAACAAUUUUUUAUAUAGUGCAUAGUCUUCCACACUGUAGAAUGGCGUAUGCAAAGGUACUGCUUUAACUAGUACAGCUACAGGGAUUUUGGAGGCAGAAUUGUGUUUAUUUCUUUAUGAAAAAUAAAAAUUGCAAACUAAAAAAUAUUUUAAAACAAUUCGCCAAGGAUAUUUGAAAUUUUGGUAACGGGUAGCCAUUGAACAGUCCAGGGUAAUUUUUAUACAUACUUGUGUGGACAACGUGAUAUGUGUGCGCAUGUAUGUUACAGCUGUCGCCUCCAAGUCCUACAAGCAUUACUUCAUUCUGCUUUGCUUGUUCUCCUCGCCUCGCUGCCAGCCUAACUGCCUUCCUCUCGUCACGAUCGCGAGUCUGAGAGCGACGACUUGCCAGCCUCGUGCUUGUGUCCGGCGGCGACGCGCCGUAUCGCGGGGAAGAAACGCGUCCCAAACCAGUUCGAAAUAACAUUCCCCCCCCCC